UUUUUUAGCUGAACAUACUUUGGCAUCAUUUAAAAUAGACAAAUUUUAUGCAUCGUAUUCAAAAGGAUUCCGCGCCAGAAUAAAAAACUAGGAAAAUUUUAAUGAUUAAGAAAUAAAUUGAUAGGAAGAAUACUAAAGGAUGAUCUACUCUAAAAUAACGUAGGCGAUUUUAUUUUUCUCUCCUUCAUUUGCAGUGUAUUUUGCAUGGAUGACUCUUCUAACUUGUUUAUAUGUUGAUUAGUUUCAGAAAAGUAAGCCUUCAUCGAAAAUAAGCGAUCAUGAUAUAAAUUGUAAGGAAACUUUUGCUUAACGGGGAUGUAGGCAAUUGAUGAUGUUGGUUCUUUAUUAUUAUUAUUUUUUUCUAUGGAAAUACUUGGGGAUGCAAUGGCAUUACGCUAUCAAAGCCCUUGAGAUAUACCGGAUAUCAGGGCAGCAGGCUGAAAGAUUGUCUAAGUUUUAUAUAGUAUGUAAAAUCCUUGAUCGUGGGCGUGGAGAAAAGUUUAUCAAGAUUGAGCAGGUUUCAAUUUUUAUAGUGAUGCCUCUUAUAAUAGAUAUUUCUUUCUUUGUAUUCUGAAACACUUCUUACCAAGACUAUGAUAACACUUGUAACUUGAUUGGAUUAUCACUGUGUCUCAACCUUAAGAUCAUGGGCUAGAUCCUAGCUUAUCUACUGAAGCACACGAUUGCACAAAAUUGGUAAAGAAAACUGACAAGUGAUGGUGUCUUUAUUUGUUUUGUUGUUUUUUUUUUUUU